rnacentral:rRNA from 1 species
CUACUGGGGUUUCUAAUCCCGUUCGCUCCCCACGCCUUCGCAUCUCAGCGUCAGGUAUAUCCCAGCUGGCCGCCUUCGCCACAGGUGUUCCUCCCGAUCUCUACGCAUUUCACCACUACACCGGGAAUUCCACCAGCCCCUGAUAUCCUCAAGCUCACCCGUUCACGACGACCCUCCCCGGUUAAGCCGGGGGCUUUCACGCCAUGCGUAAUGAGCCGCCUGCAUGCGCUUUACGCCCAGUAACUCCGGACAACGCUCGACCCCUACGUAUUACCGCGGCUGCUGGCAC